rnacentral:rRNA from 1 species
CGGAGGGUGCAAGCGUUAUCCGGAUUCACUGGGUUUAAAGGGUGCGUAGGUGGGCAGGUAAGUCAGUGGUGAAAUCUCCGGGCUUAACUCGGAAACUGCCAUUGAUACUAUCUGUCUUGAAUGCCCUGGAGGUAAGCGGAAUAUGUCAUGUAGCGGUGAAAUGCUUAGAUAUGACAUAGAACACCAAUUGCGAAGGCAGCUUACUACGGGGUGAUUGACACUGAGGCACGAAAGCGUGGGGAUCAAACAGGAUUAGAUACCCUGGUAGUCCACGCCCUAAACGAUGGAUACUCGACAUACGCGAUACACAGUGUGUGUCUGAGCGAAAGCAUUAAGUAUCCCACCUGGGAAGUACGAUCGCAAGAUUG